GUACUAAUGAAGAUUCCCAAAACAGGACGAAACAGCUGUCCAGUAC
rnacentral:hammerhead_ribozyme from 1 species